rnacentral:sRNA from 12 species
UUAAAGAGCGGGCGAAAGCGCCGUAUACUUGUGGCCAUCGAAUUAACGUUUAAGCGAACUGUAAGCUCGCCGAUCCACGGGGAAAAGCCGUAACGGAGUCGUUGCGGCUUUUUUACUACC